rnacentral:rRNA from 1 species
AUUGAACGCUAGCGGGAUGCCUUACACAUGCAAGUCGAACGGAGUGGCGAACGGGUGAGGAAUGUAUCGGAACGUGCCCAGUAGCGGGGGAUAACUACGCGAAAGCGUAGCUAAUACCGCAUACUAUUGGAGCGGCCGAUAUCGGAUGAGCUAGUGGGUGGGGUAACGGCUCACCAAGGCCACGAUCCGUAGCUGGUUUGAGAGGACGACCAGCCACACUGGGACUGAGACACGGCCCAGACUCCUACGGGAGGCAGCAGUGGGGAAUAUUGGACAAUGGGUGAAACCCUGAUCCAGCCAUCCCGCGUGUGCGAUGAAGGCCUUCGGGUUGUAAAGUACUUUCAGCGAGGAGGCGUUACUCGCAGAAGAGGCACCGGCUAACUCCGUGCCAGCAGCCGCGGUAAUAC